AACGAACGCUGGCGGCAGGCCUAAUACAUGCAAGUCGAACGGGCGUAGCAAUACGUCAGUGGCGGACGGGUGAGUAACACGUGGGAACAUGCCUUUCGGUUCGGAAUAACGCAGGGAAACUUGCGCUAAUACCGGAUGACCCGGCGACGGAAAAGAUUUAUCGCCGAAAGAUUGGCCCGCGUAGGAUUAGCUAGUUGGUGAGGUAACGGCCCACCAAGGCGACGAUCCUUAGCUGGUUUGAGAGAACGAUCAGCCACACUGGGACUGAGACACGGCCCAGACUCCUACGGGGAGGCAGCAGUAGGGAAUCUUGGACAAUGGGGGAAACCCGUGAUCCAGCCAUGCCGCGUGAGUGAUGAAGGCCUUCGGUUGUAAACUACUUUCGUCGCGCGACGAUAAUGACGGUAGCGCGAGAAGAAG
rnacentral:rRNA from 1 species